rnacentral:misc_RNA from 1 species
AACCAUAGAAACCUGCGGAGUACCUGCGGAAGGAUCAUUACACAAUACAAUAUGAAGGCUGUCCGCAGCUGGAGUAUUUUAUUACCCUUGUCUUUGCGCACUUGUUGUUUCCUGGGCGGGUUCGCUCGCCACCAGGACCACCAAAUAAACCUUUUUUAUGCAGUUGCAAUCAGCGUCAGUACAAACAAUGUAAAUCAUUUACAACUUUUAACAAUGGAUCU